GGCGUGGUGUAGACAUAGUGUAGACACACGUAAGAUUUUGAACGUUUAGGUUUCUAUUUAAAAUAAUAAAAUCAAUAUACUAACUAUAAUUCUGUAAAAUGUAGCACUUCGUUGACAUCGAAGGGGUCACAGGUUCAAUCCCUGUCACUCCCACCA
rnacentral:tRNA from 1 species